UACAGAGGUCCCAAGCGUUGUUCGGAUUCACUGGGCGUAAAGGGUGCGUAGGCGGUCGGGUAAGUCUGAUGUGAAAUCUCACAGCUUAACUGUGAAACUGCAUUGGAUACUAUUCGGCUUGAGAGUUGGAGGGGGGACUGGAAUUCUUGGUGUAGCAGUGAAAUGCGUAGAUAUCAAGAGGAACACCAGUGGCGAAGGCGAGUCCCUGGACAACUUCUGACGCUGAGGCACGAAAGCUAGGGGAGCAAAACAGG
rnacentral:rRNA from 1 species